rnacentral:tRNA from 1 species
AAAGAUUUAGUUAAAAUCUUAUAACAUUGGAAUGUCAAACCAAAAUUAUUAUUAAUAAAUAUUCUUUA